UAAAAUAAAGCGAUUUAUUGCAUUCAGUUUCGACCUGAACUUAGAUGAUUUCUAUUUUUU
rnacentral:tRNA from 1 species